AGAUGUGAAGACUAUCUGACUGUGACAUCUGUCACCCCACUGAUCACCUCGGUUGAUUUGGCUGAUCUAACUAGCUAAGCGGGUAUCCCCAUCCUCCCUUACCGCUAUACGUGCAUCCCUCCAAAAACAGCUUGCUUGGCCAAAGAGGAUGACUUCAUGGAGAGUAGAGAGGACUACUCUUAGGCAAAGAAUGUACGAGUAGCUGUGCUCUUCGCUGGAAUCUCCAAACACAAUCUCAGGGUUCAUUUAUAGGAGAACUUAGGGUGGACAGGCUUACAAGAGUCUAGGCACAUCCAAAUGACAUGCUACAUGUGGUUGAAUGCCUUUCU
rnacentral:snRNA from 1 species